rnacentral:rRNA from 1 species
UAGUGAGUUUGAUCCUGGCUCAGGAUGAACGCUGGCGGCGUGCUUAACACAUGCAAGUCGAACGAUGAUCCGGUGCUUGCACCGGGGAUUAGUGGCGAACGGGUGAGUAACACGUGAGUAACCUGCCCUUAACUCUGGGAUAAGCCUGGGAAACUGGGUCUAAUACCGGAUAUGACUCCUCAUCGCAUGGUGGGGGGUUGAAAGCUUUAUUGUGGUUUUGGAUGGACUCGCGGCCUAUCAGCUUGUUGGUGAGGUAAUGGCUUACCAAGGGCGACGACGGGUAGCCGGCCUGAGAGGGUGACCGGCCACACUGGGGACUGAGACACGGCCCAGA